AAGGGCUGCUAAUACAUGCAAGUCGAGCGGACAGAUGGGAGCUUGCUCCCUGAUGUUAGCGGCGGACGGGUGAGUAACACGUGGGUAACCUGCCUGUAAGACUGGGAUAACUCCGGGAAACCGGGGCUAAUACCGGAUGGUUGUCUGAACCGCAUGGUUCAGACAUAAAAGGUGGCUUCGGCUACCACUUACAGAUGGACCCGCGGCGCAUUAGCUAGUUGGUGAGGUAACGGCUCACCAAGGCGACGAUGCGUAGCCGACCUGAGAGGGUGAUCGGCCACACUGGGACUGAGACACGGCCCAGACUCCUACGGGAGGCAGCAGUAGGGAAUCUUCCGCAAUGGACGAAAGUCUGACGGAGCAACGCCGCGUGAGUGAUGAAGGUUUUCGGAUCGUAAAGCUCUGUUGUUAGGGAAGAACAAGUGCCGUUCAAAUAGGGCGGCACCUUGACGGUACCUAACCAGAAAGCCACGGCUAACUACGUGCCAGCAGCCGCGGUAAUACGUAGGUGGCAAGCGUUGUCCGGAAUUAUUGGGCGUAAAGGGCUCGCAGGCGGUUUCUUAAGUCUGAUGUGAAAGCCCCCGGCUCAACCGGGGAGGGUCAUUGGAAACUGGGGAACUUGAGUGCAGAAGAGGAGAGUGGAAUUCCACGUGUAGCGGUGAAAUGCGUAGAGAUGUGGAGGAACACCAGUGGCGAAGGCGACUCUCUGGUCUGUAACUGACGCUGAGGAGCGAAAGCGUGGGGAGCGAACAGGAUUAGAUACCCUGGUAGUCCACGCCGUAAACGAUGAGUGCUAAGUGUUAGGGGGUUUCCGCCCCUUAGUGCUGCAGCUAACGCAUUAAGCACUCCGCCUGCGGAGUACGGUCGCAAGACUGAAACUCAAAGGAAUUGACGGCGGCCCGCACAAUCGGUGCAGCAUGUGGUUUAAUUCGAAGCAACGCGAAGAACCUUACCAGGUCUUGACAUCCUCUGACAAUCCUAUAGAUAGGACGUCCCCUUCGGGGGCAGACUGACAUGUGAUGCAUGGUUGUCGUCAGCUCGUGUCGUGAGAUGUAGGGUAAGUCCCGCAACGGCCGCACCCUUGAUCUUAUUGCCAGCAUUCAUUGGGCACCUAACGUGACUGCCGUGACAAACCGGAGGAAGCGGGGAUGACCUCAAAUCUUCUGCCCCUUAUGACUGGGCUAACCCCUGCUACAAUGGACGAACAAAGGCCACCAACCGCUAGUUACCCUUCCCAAAAUUUUUUUUCAUUCGAACC
rnacentral:rRNA from 1 species